rnacentral:rRNA from 1 species
ACCGGCAGCCAUAUCACCCUGCAGGCCAAGACUGGUCACCCACUGAAGCUAAGCAGGGUUGAGUAUGGUCUGUACCUGGAUGGUAGACCUCCUGGGAAAACUAAGUUGUUGCUGGAA